AUUAAAAUAUAAGCGCCAGGAGUUAGGUGAGGUUAAAAUCUUACUUAGAGUAUUUUCAAAAAAGCUAGCAUUUUUGACCUGCUAAUUUUUUAAAUGCCUACUUAACUUGACGAGGAUAGGGAAUAUCGAAAUUUUCGGCGGAUGCCCUACGGUAUAGCACUACCGUUAAAGAUCAAUCAAAACCAAAGAGCGAUUUUUGGGACAAAAUUGAUCGGGUGCUAAUAU
rnacentral:ncRNA from 2 species